rnacentral:rRNA from 1 species
UACGUAGGGGGCUAGCGUUGCUCGGAAUCACUGGGCGUAAAGCGCACAUAGGCGGAUCUUUAAGUCAGGGGUGAAAUCCUGGAGCUCAACUCCAGAACUGCCUCUGAUACUGGGGAUCUUGAGUCCGGAAGAGGUAAGUGGAACUGCGAGUGUAGAGGUGAAAUUCGUAGAUAUUCGCAAGAACACCAGUGGCGAAGGCGGCUUACUGGUCCGGUACUGACGCUGAGGUGCGAAAGCGUGGGGAGCGAACAGG